ACUCUACCACAAGGCCACAUUCCCAGCCCCAGAUGUCAGCCUUUUGACUAGCUAGGAUUCCAGGAAGGCAUGAGACAUUAGCACCUGGCUUAUAUUUAUUCUUAAAACUCUGUGUGAUCCAAUUUUAUCUAAUUAAUAACAAUUACUUCUUAAACAAUUAAAAUUAUUUUAAAAUUUGCCUUUCCUGCCUUUAUCAGGAAAGUAAGAUUCUCCUUACUUCCUCCCCAUCCACCAAAUCUAACCACUGUAACUCUCUUCCAAGGCUCUCUAAUAGCUUCCUUCUGGCCAUGACCAAGACCUUCUUUUAACUCUUAUCCAACUUGACUUCUUUGUGGCAUUAAGACAGCUCUUUAAAAUUUUUGAAAAUCAUUUUUGAAACUUUAGAAGUAUAGGUUUCAUUUUAUAUUUACUUAUAUAUUAUAAAUUACUUUUUAAAAUUGUCCAUAAAGGCUACUUUGGCAUAUUUCCCACUAGCCUAUUUAUGUAAGCAUUUUUAGCAUCAGAAGAUUUUUUUUUUUUUUUUUUUGCCAGUCCUGGGGCUUGGACUAGAGGCCUGAGUGCUGUCCCUGGCUUCUUUUUGCUCAAGACUAGCACUCUACCACUUAAGCCACAGCAUCACUUCUGGCUUUUUUUUCUGACUUUGUGGUGCUGAGGAAUUGAACCCAGGGCUUCAUGCAUGCUACGCAAGCACUAUACCGCUAAGCUACAUUCCCAGGCCCUCAGCAGAUUUAUGCAUAACUAGGGUUUUAAUAUACAUCCAGUUUUGAACUCACUACUUUUUCCCUGAAAGUCACCUUAUUUCCACAAAACAAGUACUUCUUGGUUUUUUCCACAAUUCACCUAUCUCACAAAAUUGAAAAUCCAAGAACUUUUUGUCUCUCUGAU